rnacentral:misc_RNA from 1 species
GAUGAAGAACGUAGCGAAAUGCGAUACUUGGUGUGAAUUGCAGAAUCCCGUGAACCAUUGAGUCUUUGAACGCAAGUUGCGCCCGAAGCCAUUAGGCCGAGGGCACGCCUGCCUGGGCGUCACACGUCGUUGCCCCCCCAUCUACUCCUUCGGGAUUGCGGGGGGCGGAUGAUGGCCUCCCGUGCGCCUCGUCGCGCGGUUGGCAUAAAUGCCAAGUCCUCGGCGACGCACGCCACGACAAUCGGUGGUUGCGAAACCUCGGUUGCCCGUCGUGUGCGGUCGUCGCGCAUCGAGGGCUCGAAAAAAUUGCCGGGCUCCGGCUCGGCUUUCAACGCGACCCCAGGUCAGGCGGGGUUACCCGCUGAAUUUAAGCAUAUCAAUAAGCGGAGGA